GCAAGUCGAGGGGUAACAGGGGAGCUUGCUUCCGCUGACGACCGGCGAACGGGUGCGUAACGCGUAUAGAAUCUGCCUUGUACAGGAGGAUAGCCUUUAGAAAUGAAGAUUAAUACUCCAUAAUAUUGUGUAUCGGCAUCGUUUUUUAAUUAAACAUUUAUGGGUACAAGAUGACUAUGCGUCCUAUUAGCUAGAUGGUAAGGUAACGGCUUACCAAGGCAACGAUAGGUAGGGGGUCUGAGAGGAUGAUC
rnacentral:rRNA from 1 species